GGCAGAGCCGUAUUUUCCCCAGCUGGUCAUCCCAUUGCCGAUCAAGUCCUUGGGUGAGCUUCUCACCUCCCUGCCCUGCUCUGAGACCCCUGUCACACCGACGAUCCCAGUCGUCCCAGAGAGCUUCUCUGCUUUCCCAAAAUUCAUCGAGCAGUCCGCUGUACGUGUAGCACUAAGGUGACACACACACCCCCCCCGAAGCAGGGGUGCUCUGCUCCAGCCUUCCUUGCUGGAAUUAAAAUACGCAGCCCUGGCCAACAUGGGUGGCUCCGGGAGCACUGAAGGACACCAAGCACUGAUGUCCUGAAUCGGUGGGAGGAUGAGGCAGUAAUGAACCCAGCUACACCCUGUAAAUUGCCAGGUGUAAUCACAGCCUUGCCUAAAAAUCUCUUAACCACAUGUAUUAUUUAUAGUCAUUGAUCUUAUUUCUGUCCCAGCUGUAUUUAAGUAUUGUUAGGGCACUGGCAACACCCACUGCAGGACAAAGCCGCUGCUAAUCCCACCUUGUGCUUUGGCCGCUGCCACUACAGACCAGAGGGAACGGCCUCAAGUUGUGCCAGGGGAGGUUCAGAGGCUUGAACCCGCCGGCCCUCCACGGGGGAUUGCUCCUGCAAAGCCCUGGAGCCAGCACGACGGGGAUGCAGCCCCAAAAGCCAAGAGCCGCAAGAUGAACUGCAAGCGCUGCGAAAACCUCCUCUGAAUUGCUGCAAGUUGGCCGGGCAGGAAAAUGCUCACUGCCUUCAUCUGGGGAGCACCCGAGGGACCAGGCUCUGGAGAAGAGCGGGCAGAGCCUGAGAGCCCUCCCUGGCAGGCGGCAGCACUUGCACAAGCUGCAGAUGCUGGAGCUGACCCGCCGGCGCCGAGAGGUAACGUGGGGAGGGCUCUGGGGAGAAGCCGAGGCUCCGCGGGGUUUUCCCAUCCUGGGGUCUCCCCCAUGGGCGAGGAGGUCUCAAUCCUGUGGCUGGGAAGUGUGGAUGAGGCUGGGGAGCAGCCCCAGGGUGGUGGGUGCACCCACACCUCCCCGCUGGGCUGGGGAAUGUCCCACACAUGUAGGAGAUGCUGGCACUGAGAGGCAGCCCCGGCUCCUGCUGAUGCCCUGCUCCCUGUCCCCAUGCCCACAGCCUUCCUCCCCUCCAGAGAUGCAGGAACACCCUCCUGCAGGCUCCUUC
rnacentral:lncRNA from 1 species